rnacentral:rRNA from 1 species
AAGCUCAAAUUUGAAAUCCCCCGGGAAUUGUAAUUUGAAGAGAUUUGGGUCCGGCCGGCGGGGGUUAAGUCCACUGGAAAGUGGCGCCACAGAGGGUGACAGCCCCGUGAACCCCUUUAACGCCCUCAUCCCAGAUCUCCAAGAGUCGAGUUGUUUGGGAAUGCAGCUCUAAGUGGGUGGUAAAUUCCAUCUAAAGCUAAAUACCGGCGAGAGACCGAUAGCGAACAAGUACAGUGAUGGAAAGAUGAAAAGCACUUUGAAAAGAGAGUGAAAAAGUACGUGAAAUUGUUGAAAGGGAAGGGCUUGCAAGCAGACACUUAACUGGGCCAGCAUCGGGGCGGCGGGGAGCAAAACCACCGGGGAAUGUACCUUUCGAGGAUUAUAACCCCGGUCCUUACUCCCUCACCAUCCCGAGGCCUGCAAUCUAAGGAUGCUGGCGUAAUGGUUGCAAGUCGCCCGUCUU